UACACGAUCCGUACCGCCUGCCAGAUCCGUUCUGCGCAUGCGCAUAAUUACGUAGUAGAAGACGUAACGAUUCCUCUGUAAUAUCUGUACCACGCAUGUCUUGAAACAGUUGACGGCCAAGAAGCGGCACAUUUGACGAAACCAACUUCGCAGAAAAAUAUAUUUUGACUACACCCGACGAAUUAUGUUCACAGAUUGUGCAGGUUGAUGCCACUAAAGACCACGAUUAACUUCACCAAAGGACAUGGAAAUAUGUGCGUUCAAACCACCAGAAGGUGCAGUGCAACCAAGUCCACCAAGACCCCCCAGUACACUUAAAUCCCCCAAGCCCCCCCAGGACACACAAAUCACUCAACAACAUAGAAUGACAAAAUGCCACCCCAAAUUGUCAGAUGGCACAGUUCAUGUCAAAAGCCCAAGGACUCAGAACAUGAAGCCCAAGAAGUAGAUGAUGACUCGGCCCAGUGACACCAAAUGGAAAAGCCCAUUGCAGUAGUCAACCCUACUGGAGAUGAAUGCAUCAAUAAGUUAUCUAAAUCAUGUUUUGACAUUAGACAUCUAAGUUUGGCCAUGUUUUUGAGGCUUAUGACUCUGCCACUGCACAUGGUUUGUAGAGAGAGGCACGCACACUCUAUUCUGUCAGAUAAAAAUGUUUGCAUGGCUCUGAUUGGAAAUUGCCAGAAGGGAUAGGUCAAGCAGGAGCAGUGUGAAAGGCGUCCUAAUUGCUUGAGUGGGAGGGGAAACAUCUAAUGGCCACCUUACAACAAACAAGUUUGUCAAGAUUUCGGAAGGAUUCUUAAAAGAUUGUAGUAUUUUAACUAAUGCCCCCCAUUCAAGAUUUACUCAAAAGACUGCAAUCUUUAAGGAAUCUUUUCUCAAAUCUUGUCAAAGUUGUUUGGUGUAAGGAGGCCAUUAGUCUAAUAGCCUUGCACCAAACCACCAAAGUACUCAUGACUGUGAGGUAGGGGUGUGACGGUAUUUUAACACUAUUUCAAAAAAUGUCCAGUGAUGACAUAUUAA